rnacentral:sRNA from 1 species
UCCUCUCCAGGCAAUGUCUUAUUGUGCA